rnacentral:rRNA from 1 species
UACGAAGGGGCUAGCGUUGUUCGGAAUCACUGGGCGUAAAGAGCGCGUAGGCGGCUUAGUUAGUCAGAGGUGAAAGCCCAGGGCUCAACCCUGGAACUGCCUUUGAUACUCCUAAGCUAGAAUCCGUGAGAGGGUGGUGGAAUAUCCAGUGUAGAGGUGAAAUUCGUAGAUAUUGGAUGGAACACCAGUGGCGAAGGCGGCCACCUGGCGCGGUAUUGACGCUGAGGCGCGAAAGCGUGGGGAGCAAACAGG